AGUUCAGAAGUGUGCUCUUCUGUUCUGCUUUUCUUAAAAUUUAAAUUUCUUAGAGAUACUAAGAGAAGGCAUUGGUCAAAGGAGUGUUUGGCGUUGAGGGAGGAUUUUUUUUAUUUUUAAAGAUGUGACGGACGUGAGUAGUUUAAAGGCUGAUGAGAAGGAGAGAGCAGAGAAGUUAAAAAUCACAGACCAGUUAGAAAGCGGAGCUGGCCGUGAGCGUCCCAGGGUGUGUAUCUUAGAGUUCUUAGUGCCUCCCCGUAGGCCUACUUUGUUCUUAAUUGCUGUAUCACUGUUUACUUGAGCUGUUUCUGGGAUGCAGUUAAGACUUCUCAGAAACAGUGUGAUCCUUUUGAGGCUUGCUUUUGAGUUUUGUAAGGUGAGGUCAGAUCAGCCUUUAGGUAGGGCUGUUUUCUCCACACUGCCCAGGGGGGUGCCUGUGUGAAUGAUCCCCUCUGGCCCGUGUGUUCCACCGAGGCUGGUGGGAACAGCAGCUCCAGGUGAGCUUUCAGAUCGUCCCUCCUGCUCGUUCUGCUGGUCCUUCCUGCGCCCUUGGGCAGCUUUAUUGUGUUUUUGUCCUGAUCAGUUCUCAGUGGGAGACUCAGAGGGAGGGUUCAGAAUAGUCUCUGUAGCUCUUCUGUCUCCCACACUCUGCCCUGUGAGCACUCACCUCUCAGGCCCCUCCCAGUUCCCAUCGGGGCUCCACAGUGCGAGACUGACAGCCUUUGCCCGGGGCUCCCCUCCCUGUAGGGCAGUUCCUGGGCUCCCCUCGUUUUCCCCCUCUCUCAAGAAUUAGUGUCCUGCUGCCUGAAAACUGUUAUUUCAUAGGUUUUGGUCAGUGUUUGAGUUGCUGAAAGUUGGAGAGUAAAUCCAGUACCUGGUGUACUGUUUUUCUCAAGUUGAAGUUUGCCCACUAUUUAUUAUGAACUUUUUGUCUACUUUCUAAAGUAUAUUUUGUUAAGUUGGCCUCUUUCCGGUACCAGUUAUCGUCAGAAAAAAGGGCCCCGGUAUCCUCCUGCCCUCUUCACUGCUCACCCUUUCCUGUCUCUUGGAAGGUAGUUUUAUAGUGACAUCUCCCUGCCUGCUUCUUCCACACACAUCCAGUCAACUCGUGCAGACGUUCAGAGAUCCUGAAUCUUGGUUCUGUUAGGUGGAUAUUUGAUGCAAUCACCCAGCCGGCUGGCAGAGCGAUUCAGUCCUGGUGAGGAGUCUGCAUCCACCUCUUUCCUGACUGCCUCUCCUGAAUCGACGUGAGCUGGAGCCCCAGCAGCAGUACUGCCAUACCUUCUUACUUUCAAGUCUUCUUUCUCUUUAUACUUAAAGUGCAUUUUUUAUCGAUAGCAUAUAGUCACGGUCUUGUUUUUUAUCAAGUCAACAAUCUGUCUUUUAAUUGGCAUGUUUAGACUGUUUACAUUUAAUAUAGUAAUUGAUUUGAUUUGGUUCAAGUGUACCUUCCUGCUGUUUGUUUUUUAUUUGCUGCAUCUAUCCUAUGUGCCAUUUUUUCCUUUUCCUGCCUUCUUUUAGAUUAUUUAAUAGUGUUCCUUUUUAUCAUUACCACUGGCUUAUUCUAUAUACAUGCAUAGGUGUUUCUUUUUUUUCUUCUUCUUUCUGUGAUUGCCCUCAGGUUUACAGCAUGCAUUGGUAUCUUAACACAUUCUAACCUCAAAUAAUAUGACAGCACUUCACAUAUAAGAACUCUGUAAUGGUAUACUUCUAUAUUUCCCUCCUGUCCUUUGUGCUAUUUUUUGUUGUACAUUUUAUUUCUCAGUAUUAUAAAACCCACAAUACACUGUUUUUCUUGUUUCAAGAGACAGUUAUCUUUUUUA